UACGGAGGGUGCAAGCGUUGUUCGGAAUCACUGGGCGUAAAGGGCGCGUAGGCGGGCGCAUAAGUCGAUUGUGAAAGCCCCGGGCUCAACCUGGGAAUGGCAGUCGAUACUGUGUGUCUUGAGUGCUUGAGAGGGUGGUGGAAUUCCUGGUGUAGAGGUGAAAUUCGUAGAUAUCAGGAGGAACACCGGAGGCGAAGGCGGCCACCUGGCAAGACACUGACGCUGAGGCGCGAAAGCGCGGGGAUCAAACAGG
rnacentral:rRNA from 1 species